UACGUAGGGCGCGAGCGUUGUCCGGAAUUAUUGGGCGUAAAGAGCUCGUAGGUGGCUUGUUGCGUCUGCCGUGAAAGCCCGUGGCUUAACUACGGGUCUGCGGUGGAUACGGGAAGGCUAGAGGCUGGUAGGGGCAAGCGGAAUUCCUGGUGUAGCGGUGAAAUGCGCAGAUAUCAGGAGGAACACCGGUGGCGAAGGCGGCUUGCUGGGCCAGUUCUGACGCUGAGGAGCGAAAGCCAGGGGAGCGAACGGG
rnacentral:rRNA from 1 species